rnacentral:sRNA from 1 species
AGGGAUCUUCUCCCUUCCUUCCUCUGCAUGCUCCUGAUACAUACUGUGAGUCUUUUGUUUUCUGUCUUUUUGCAGAGCAUUGGCUGUGAUGACUACUUAGGCUCCGACAAAGUCGUGGACAAAUGUGGGGUGUGUGGAGGAGACAACACGGGCUGUCAGGUUGUGUCGGGAGUGUUUAAGCAUGCCCUCACCAGCCUGGGCUACCACCGCGUCGUGGAGAUUCCCGAGGGAGCCACGAAAAUCAACAUCACGGAGAUGUACAAGAGCAACAACUAUUUGGCCUUGCGAAGUCGUUCUGGACGCUCCAUCAUCAAUGGGAACUGGGCAAUUGAUCGACCAGGAAAAUACGAGGGCGGAGGGACCAUGUUCACCUACAAGCGUCCAAAUGAGAUUUCAAGCACUGCCGGAGAGUCCUUUUUGGCGGAAGGUCCCACCAACGAGAUCUUGGAUGUCUACAUGAUACACCAGCAGCCAAACCCAGGCGUGCACUACGAGUACGUGAUCAUGGGGACCAACGCCAUCAGCCCCCAGGUGCCACCCCACAGGAGACCAGGGGAACCCUUCAAUGGCCAGAUGGUGACAGAAGGCAGGAGCCAGGAGGAGGGAGAAGAGAAAGGGAGGAACGAGGAGAAGGAAGACUUGCGUGGGGAGGCCCCUGAGAUGUUCACCUCAGAAUCGGCACAGACCUUCCCAGUCAGGCAUCCAGACAGAUUUUCUCCCCGUCGACCGGACAACUUGGUGCCACCAGCACCGCAGCCCCCGCGGCGCAGCCGGGAUCACAACUGGAAGCAGCUUGGGACGACAGAAUGUUCCACGACCUGUGGGAAAGGAUCGCAGUACCCUAUUUUCCGCUGUGUGCACAGAAGCACUCAUGAAGAGGCUCCUGAGAGUUACUGUGACUCCAGCAUGAAGCCGACCCCCGAGGAGGAGCCCUGCAACAUCUUCCCUUGCCCAGCCUUCUGGGACAUCGGGGAGUGGUCUGAGUGCAGCAAGACCUGUGGCCUGGGCAUGCAGCACCGCCAGGUUCUGUGCCGCCAGGUGUAUGCCAACCGCAGCCUGACGGUGCAGCCCUACCGCUGCCAGCACCUGGAGAAACCUGAGACCACCAGCACCUGCCAACUCAAGAUCUGCAGCGAGUGGCAGAUCCGGACCGACUGGACCUCGUGCUCGGUGCCCUGCGGCGUGGGACAGAGGACCCGUGAUGUGAAGUGUGUGAGCAACAUUGGGGAUGUGGUUGACGAUGAGGAAUGCAACAUGAAGCUCCGGCCGAAUGACAUUGAGAACUGCGACAUGGGACCCUGUGCCAAGAGCUGGUUCCUCACCGAGUGGAGCGAAAGGUGCUCAGCGGAGUGUGGGGCCGGAGUGCGGACACGCUCGGUGGUGUGCAUGACCAACCAUGUCAGCAGCCUGCCCCUGGAGGGCUGUGGGAACAACCGGCCGGCAGAGGCCACCCCAUGUGACAACGGACCCUGCACGGGCAAGGUGGAGUGGUUUGCCGGGAGCUGGAGUCAGUGUUCCAUCGAGUGUGGGAGCGGGACGCAACAGAGGGAGGUGAUUUGUGUUAGAAAGAAUGCGGACACCUUUGAAGUGUUGGACCCCUCUGAAUGUUCUUUCCUGGAAAAACCCCCCAGCCAGCAAUCCUGCCACCUCAAGCCUUGCGGAGCCAAAUGGUUUAGCACCGAAUGGAGCAUGAGUCUACAAAGAGCCAUGCUCACCAGGCCAAGUUGAAGGAGACAAACUUCAAAAACACCUGCUGGAAGCAACCCAAAUGUCCGUCAGCAGGUGAACGGACAAACCAUGGUGCAUCCACACAGUGGAACAAAAAACUCAGCCACAAAAAUAUGGAUGAACUUCCAGUGCGUUUUGCUAAGUAAAAAAAAAGCCAGGUUCAAAAAACUAUGUGUUGUAUGAGUCCAUCUAUAUAAUAUUCUGUAAAAGGAGCAGCUACAAACGCCAAAUCAGUGCCUGCUGGAGGAUGGGGUGACCACAUCUGUGCAAUCUGACCGUAGAGGGGCAGCAUGGGAAUUUUUUGUCUGCAAUGAAAAUAUUUCGUGUCUUCUUUGCGGUAGGAGAUACACAACUGUAUAAAUUUGUCAAAACUGAUAGAUCUGUAUACCACAAAAAGGGAAAUUUUUAGAUGCAAAUUUAGAAAAUAUGAAGUAAAUGGUUACUAUAAUAGCAAAGACUGAUGGAAGCUAGACUUCUUUGAAUGUACCUUGUUUUACAAAUUUGAGUUUGGAACUAAGUAAAUAUUUUAGAUAAUCAUAAAAGAAAAUUAAGUUUUAAAAAAGCAAUCCCCAGAACUGAAAAUACAAUGAAACAAAUUAAUCUAAAUAUGUUUCUAGUUGGUGGCAUCAGCACUAUUGCAGGUGACUUUAAUACAUAGUAAUUUGACAUUCUAUCCCUAAAAAAAAUUACUGCAGAAGAAUGUUCACACUGUUUGCAAUUAUCCUAUUUUUGGUGAUAGUGUUGUGCUGGAUAUGAUGAUUGGGCAUAUAAUGUGUGAGAAGGUAAAUGAGUAAUUAGAUGAUAGUAUAAUUCUAUUAGCCCCAAUAUCCUUGAGAAGUAGGAUGUUCAAACUUAGGAGAAAGUAGAUACAGAUACAAGAUAGAUAUUGUAUGGCUUAAGUCCGCAAUAAAAAGCCUGUUGUCCUGAA